GUCAAAUUGAACUACGAAUACCUCUUGAUGAAUGAAACAGCGUCAAAUAAUAGCCAGAAAAGGAAAGGGUAAAGCGGACACUCGUUGCACGGAACAAAAGGAUCCUCUAGCAGCUGCACAGUACGUCGACACCCUUCGGGAAUUUCAGAAGUAGACCUUUUCCAGCGGUUGGUCAGAGACAUGCAAAAUGUAAGAGAACAUUUAUCAAAUUCUUUGGUAACGACGGUGACCGCCUCUUUCCCUGAACUUCGUUGGAAAUGUUCUCGGCCAUUUUUCGCCCCCACUAACGCAGUCCACCCUUCGAAAGAAAAGCAAGCCGUAAAGGCAGUGGAUUUUUUUUCGCUUCAAGUACCAUAACCAACGGUUAGUACCGGAUAGUAUCCUUCCAAAAGGAUAUUUGACCAGUACAUUCAAUGUACCAAAGAAGAUAUUGCAGCAUUUAU